UUGAGUGCGGACAUGAUGGCUGUUCUUUUCCGGUUGAGAUCAUGCAUGGUUAUUAUGAGGACCCGUAUAGGCGUAUGUUUAGUCCCACAUCGACUAUUCAUCGAAAAGAUCUUGAGUUCUUAUAUAGAACUAAAGAACCAAAAAAACAUACUAGCUAGCCUUUUUGAGUGAAAUCUCGAGUGAUGAGAAAUGACAUUAGAGCAAACUCGGCCCAUCGGAGCAGUUAGCCUGAUGAGGAUGUUAAGACUUGAACAGAAGAGUACCUUCCGACUAGCUAAUGGCACUAAGUAUUUCUCAAACUUUAUAAAAGAAUAAAGAAUUACAAAUGAGUGAGAAUUACAUAAUAGUGGGGUUUCAAGGAAGUGGAGAAAUGAUUAUGAGUGAGGAUUACAUAUAGAGGUAAUCCGGGAUCACAGCGGAGGGAUAUGGCGUAACAGAAUAAGAUGUCUUCUCAGCAGGUACCAUCACACGACAAACCAAAGUCUGAGACAAUGGAGAAUUGGAAUCAGGAUCACCUCUUGAGAAGUUUGCCGGCCAAUUUAGCUAAAAUGGUAGGCUCACGGUCAUCCAUGUCCGUCCGAGUUCGUUGGCUAAUCUAGAGCUUAUUUGGAAGCAUGGAAUAAACGCCUUAUAAGCAGAAAGUGAGGGAACGAGCAGCACCGUAGGAGAGGAAUCUCAAAUGAUGGGAGAAGUAUUCC
rnacentral:lncRNA from 1 species